rnacentral:rRNA from 1 species
AGUGAACGCUGGCGGUAGGCCUAACACAUGCAAGUCGAACGGCAGCACAGUAAGAGCUUGCUCUUACGGGUGGCGAGUGGCGGACGGGUGAGGAAUACAUCGGAAUCUACUUUUUCGUGGGGGAUAGCGUAGGGAAACUUACGCUAAUACCGCAUACGACCUACGGGUGAAAGCAGGGGAUCUUCGGACCUUGCGCGAUUGAAUGAGCCGAUGUCGGAUUAGCUAGUUGGCGGGGUAAAGGCCCACCAAGGCGACGAUCCGUAGCUGGUCUGAGAGGAUGAUCAGCCACACUGGAACUGAGACACGGUCCAGACUCCUACGGGAGGCAGCAGUGGGGAAUAUUGGACAAUGGGCGCAGGCCUGAUCCAGCCAUACCGCGUGGGUGAAGAAGGCCUUCGGGUUGUAAAGCCCUUUUGUUGGGAAAGAAAAGCAGCAGGUUAAUACCCCGCUGUUCUGACGGUACCCAAAGAAUAAGCACCGGCUAACUUCGUG